GAUGAAGAACGUAGCGAAAUGCGAUACUUGGUGUGAAUUGCAGAAUCCCGUGAACCAUCGAGUCUUUGAACGCAAGUUGCGCCCGAAGCCACUAGGCCGAGGGCACGCCUGCCUGGGCGUCACACGCCGUUGCCCCCCCAUCUACUCCUUCGGGAUUGCGGGGGGGCGGAUGAUGGCCUCCCGUGCGCCUAGCCGCGCGGUUGGCAUAAAUACCAAGUCCUCGGCGACGCACGCCACGACAAUCGGUGGUUGCGAAACCUCGGUUGCCCGUCGUGUGCGUUCGUCGCGCAGCGAGGGCUCGAAAAAAUGCUCGGCUCCGGCUGGGCUUUCAACGCGACCCCAGGUCAGGCGGGGUUACCCGCUGAAUUUAAGCAUAUCAAUAAGCGGAGGA
rnacentral:misc_RNA from 1 species